rnacentral:rRNA from 1 species
CAGCAGCCGCGGGAAUACAGAGGGUGCGAGCGUUAAUCGGAAUUACUGGGCGUAAAGCGCGCGUAGACGGUUUUGUAAGUCAGAUGUGAAAUCCCUGGGCUCAACCUGGGAACUGCAUUUGAUACUGCAUGGCUAGAGUAUCGAAGAGGGAAGUGGAAUUUCCGGUGUAGCGGUGAAAUGCGUAGAUAUCGGAAGGAACACCAGUGGCGAAAGCGACUUCCUGGUCGAAUACUGACGUUCAUGUGCGAAAGCGUGGGGAGCAAACAGGAUUAGAUACCCCCGUAGUCCCUGUCUCUUAUAC